ensembl:lncRNA
UAGAAAUAGGAGCUGAUGUAUAUUCAGUUCAGUGAGUCUUCAGUCAAGUAUAAUGUUCCUAUUAACAUCUACUUUGCUGUUAAUUUCCACAGGUGUGUGUGAAUCUCACUACCAGCAAACGUUGACUUGCCCAUACAGUUCUAAGGAUAAAAGCCUUUACAGGGUGUGGUGCAAGAGAGACCCCAAAGACCACGACUGCUGCACCGGCUUCGCCUUCACCGCCAAGGAAAGAAACUUGGAAGAUGGGAAUAUCCGUGUGCAGGACGACGGCAACGCCUUCAGCAUCUCCGUGGCGAAAUUGUCAGAUGGUGACGGGGUGUAUUGGUGUGGACUCAAGAACGGUACCAACAUUGUUAAGCUGGCUGAGGGCCAACUCUACACCACCCCGCCAGCUUUUGCCUGGUACGUCCUUCGCUGGGUGAUCUUCUUCCUGCUGUUUGCGGCAGUGGUGGGGACUUCGGUGUAUUCCAACAGGAAAGACAGACAGGGAGAGAUUGACAAAGUAUAUGCAAGUGUGGUCAUGGAAGGCUGACUGAAGACUGUUCAAUAUAUGCAGGCACAACUGACAAUGAAGCACAAAUCAGCUCAGGAUUUUCUACAGAAUCAUUUAAAAAAAAAAAAAAAAAAACUUUUAAAGUCUAGUACUAAACUUCAUCUGUCUGGAAAAAAUGCGCCAAUAAGUGACUACAAAAAUUAUUGUAUUUUUUAGGUAAAUAUAAAGGAAUAAAUAUUUGCUCAUACAUUUGUCAGUGAGAUGAAAUUGUUUACACCACCUAGUGGAGAAAAUAUUGUAUUGUAUAAAAAUUUUGGUACAACCUUACACCAUCUGGUGGAGAAAGUAUUUUCUAGAAAGAGUAUGACUAGAUCUAGUAAGAUGGUCUAAUCAUAUCGCUUUUGUUAUUUUAUGUUUAGACUUUGAUCAGCAAAUCUUUGUUCAGUACCUUGUGUAACUGUACUUACCACAAGCAAUACUGGAUAAUAAAGAAAAACACAGACGAUCUGGAGGAAAAUCCUCGCUAUAUUUCUUUUUUUUCCUUUAUAUUUCUCACAGUUUAUGGUUGUUGGGGAGUGUGUGUGUUCCAAGACAAAAAAUACCUUUUGCUUUUAAAAGUGCUGAAGCCAUUAUCUUUUACAUGGGUGGGUUGUGUUCAUUAAUUGCUGUUAAGUAACUCAGAACUGAAUUUGAGAUGCAUACAGCAAUGCACUCUAAAUCUGAGCUCGUUACUGCAAUACAAAUAUGGAGUAGCACAUUUUUUUCUUAGCAGUCAUACACACUAUUCACAACAUAACCUAAAAGUGGCAAACAAUUUUAAAAGUACGAUUUAAAAAGAUUUACAGUUGAAGAGACGAGUUCAUUGCACUUAACGUUUGGUUUCAAGUGAAAGGUAAAUAAAAUAGCAAUAAUACCAAUAUUAAACACUACUAAUAAACAUAAAAGAUUUUGCAGCAAAUCUGCUAAACAUCUAACUGAAAAAGUGAAACUCACAAUGAUGCUAUACUGUGCUAACAAGGGAGUGAGGAAAGGAGUCGACCAAAGAUUAUCGUCUAUUGCAACCCAUUCAAUCGCAGCUGCAUGGUGAGGUUCUUUAUGACCUGUGUAGUUGGCAGGAGGUGCAGUAGUGCUUCAAAACUAGUAGAACUGUGUGUGUGUGUGUGUGCGUGCGUGUAACUACGUGUGCAGGGCAUGCAGUCUCAUAGCAUCCUCAAAAGACUGAAGAGCUAUUUAAGUUUCUUUUGAAUAUGCGGUAGCUAACAACCUGAGAACUACUCUGGACCUCCUGGAUUUCCAUAUUAGAUAUAUUUUACUAACCUAUGUUAAAUGUACAUGAGCAAGCAACAGAGAAACACAGGCCAACUCAGUUAUAACUCAAAAAAAGAUUUUCUGACUGAAGCUUGGAGUCAUUUCUGAACAAGAAAUACAACGUAAUUUACAAAGACCUAAUUUAUAACCUGCAGGACGUAUUAAGCGUUACAUCCCAAAAUAAGCCACUCAAGGAACCAAUAUGUUUACACAGGUGGUAUACAGCAUUUUACCUACGCAAUACACCAAAAUGAAAUGUACAGAAAAUAACCUGGAGUCAUGCACCAAGGUUUGAAGAAACACGCUCUUUACAUAAGGACAGUUUAUACAUCAAUGCACUUUAGAGCAAAGAACUGUGGUUUGUUUUGGGAGUGACUAUGAAAAGAUGACAUAAAUGAAGCAAAAUGUUAAAAAAAAAAAAGGGUGGGGGAGUAGGGGUUGAGAGGAUAAGGUAGAUAAUCCAGCAGGCAGGUAGCCGGUCAAUUUCAGGAAGUUGUUCCAUGCAGGACGCAGCAGUGGUCAGUAUCUUCACUUAUUGCAGUUGGAGUGCUGGGAAAAAUCUGCCCUCUGUGGUGUAAAAGUGAAGCGAACUAACAUUUCCUGUGUUUCCAACAAUAAUAUUCUCUGUCUCUCUCUGUCUCCCUCUCUCUCACACACACACACACAAUCACACACACAAUCAUUACAAGCCGAGUACUGCGCUGCUAUGAAACGCCUUUGUUUGCCAGGGGCAUGCUGAGGCGAAGAGCACAGAUACACACUGCGUGGCCUUCUGAUCCCGCGUAGUCCUCUAAAGCUCCUCGUAGUCUCCCUCCUCCCUGGGGACAGACCCUUCCCCUCCGGCCAGGAAGGCCUCCAGGUCGUCCAGCUCCCCUGCCUUCUUGCUCCGGGACUUUUUCUUCUUCUUCUCCUUCUCCUCAGCAGCUCCCGUCACCUCCUCUCGCUCCUUUUUCUUGUGUUUGUGCUUCUUUUUGCUACUUUUCUCUUCAUCCUGGAGGAGAGUUAAUGAUGCUCCUUAUACACAGCAGGGCAGAACGUGGGGAUGGGACCCUUUCACUUAGAAUUUGAUUGUUAGAUUGACUCUGGUCAUAGGUGCUAUAACCACUAGCCUUUACUGUUAUACUAUGGUACAACUGCAUUGAGUACAAAACAUAAAACAAGAGAAACCCAUUACUGACUGGUACUGAUACAAACAACAACAAAAACAACAACAACAAAUUCCCUCCACAUGCAUUGCCAAGGGAUAGACAAUAAAGAUACUAGAACCUACUGCACAUAGUAGUCUGAGGCCUUAAAACAGGAAAAUGACUGUACUAAUAACCAAACCAGAGAUCACAGAAGCACGUUCUGAUUCUGAACAAGUGCACAGAAAGGUUUCACUUAUUUUACCUCUUUAGUCUUCUUUUUCUUUUUCUUCUUUUCCUUCGCUCCAUGCCUGCUUUCUUUCUCUGCAAAGAGACAGAGCUAGCUCACUUUCCAGCUCAUGAAACG